rnacentral:rRNA from 1 species
CACGUAGGGCGCAAGCGUUGUCCGGAAUUAUUGGGCGUAAAGAGCUCGUAGGUGGUUUAUUACGUCUGCUGUGAAAUCCUAGGGCUUAACCCUGGGCUUGCAGUGGAUACGGGCAGACUAGAGGUAGGUAGGGGAGAAUGGAAUUCCUGGUGUAGCGGUGAAAUGCGCAGAUAUCAGGAGGAACACCGGCGGCGAAGGCAGGUCUCUGGGCUGACACUGACGCUCAUGCACGAAAGCGUGGGGAGCAAACAGG